GAUCUUUGCACUUCAAAAAUUACCACCGGAGCUUCAUCGAUUGGAUUGCUAUUCCAUCAUCGGAUAGAUAGAUAAAUCUUCCGGUAAAUUCAUUGAAUUGAAUUGACCAGAAGAUUGCAAUCCCAUUCUCAUUCACCAAAUCCCUCAAAAGGCCACAACAGGACCACCUCCAUUAUUGAAUGACAACUAUAUUUAUAUAUCUAUAAUAAAU
rnacentral:lncRNA from 1 species